GGACAGAAAACCAUGAGAUGUAAUCUGAAUCUUCAAUUGCACUACCCAGUUAACACAACCCCAGUCACUAGUGCCUUCCCUCUGACCCAAGGGUCAUCAACCUGCAUCAAAGAAGAUUCUCUUUGCAACAGAGGCAGACCAUAACUCCAAACACAACUGUAGAGUCCAGACCCAACCCAGACAUCUACUAAAUAAUUUCUGCACCUAAGGCUCAGGGAAAUGGAAAGACUGUUAAGAGCCCAACAGGAAAUUUGCUGUGUGACUGUGUCUUCCAGAAAUGCCAGAAACUACACCCAGAAAUUCUUAAUAGCAUGACUACCUAAACAGGAGAUGAACAAAGACAAUAACAAUAGGCAUGCUGACAUAGGUGGAGGAAAGCCCCUGUAUGCCAAAGACAUGUGCUCUCAAAGAAGAAGGCCAGCCAAGGUAGUAGUCACCAACCAGGGCUGCUGGGAGACCUGAGACCUGGUGCUGCCUCUGAGGGUGUGUGAGAAAAAACUGUGGAAGAGCAGGGAACUUGCCAGGAAACAAAACAUCUUACAGUCAUCUGCUUUCAUCAUAUCGUGUCAUCAUGCAUACAAAGGACAGCAAAAGCCAGGAACGCCAACCAUGUAUCUUUUUUGAUAUCUUUAUCAAAGUUCUGAUGGCCUCCUCAGGUGCAGCUCCAUAGCUUCAAAUUGGAAUAUUUUUAAAUGAAGGUUAAAUGGUUUUGAUAAGUCUUGACAUUUUGUGUCAGUCGUUUGUAUUUGUCUCCAUUUUUCUGUAAAUAAAAUAUACAUAAUUUGAAAGUUA